rnacentral:rRNA from 1 species
UUUUCGGAGAGUUUGAUUCUGGCUCAGAACGAACGCUGGCGGCGUGGAUAAGACAUGCAAGUCGAACGGGAUUAAAUGGGUAGCAAUAUUCGUUUAAUUCAGUGGCGAACGGGUGCGUAACACGUGGGAAUCUUCCCGGAAGUGGGGAAUAGCUCGCCGAAAGGCGAAUUAAUACCGCAUAUGAUCGCGAGAUCAAAGCGGGGGACCGCAAGGCCUCGCGCUUCCGGAUGAGCCCGCGGCCUAUCAGCUAGUUGGCGAGGUAAAAGCUCACCAAGGCGAUGACGGGUAGCUGGUCUGAGAGGACGACCAGCCACACUGGGACUGAGACACGGCCCAGACACCUACGGGUGGCAGCAGUCGAGAAUCUUUCACAAUGGGGGCAACCCUGAUGGAGCGACGCCGCGUGGAGGAUGAAGGGAUUCGUCUUGUAAACUCCUGUCACCACAGAACAAGGUCUGUGUGUUAACAGCACUGCAGAUUUGAUGGUAUGUGGAGAGGAAGGGACGGCUAACUCUGUGCCAGCAGCCGCGGUAAUACAGAGGUCCCAAGCGUUGUUCGGAUUCACUGGGCGUAAAGGGUGCGUAGGAGGCCGGGAAAGUCUGAUGUGAAAUCCCACCGCUUAACGGUGGAAUGGCAUUGGAUACUACUUGGCUGGAGGACUGGAGGGGAAAGCGGAAUUCCUGGUGUAGCGGUGAAAUGCGUAGAUAUCAGGAGGAACACCAACGGCGAAGGCAGCUUUCUGGACAGUUCCUGACUCUGAGGCACGAAGGCCAGGGGAGCAAACGGGAUUAGAUACCCCGGUAGUCCUGGCAGUAAACGGUGCUCAUUAGGUGUAGGCGGAUUCGACCCCGUCUGUGCCGAAGGUAACCCAUUAAAUGAGCCGCCUGGGGAGUACGGUCGCAAGAUUAAAACUCAAAGAAAUUGACGGGGGCCCGCACAAGCGGUGGAGUAUGUGGCUUAAUUCGAUGCAACGCGAAGAACCUUACCUGGUCUUGACAUGCAUUGUUCAUCCGGCGAAAGCCGGUGGCCCGCAAGGGCGAAUUGCACAGGUGCUGCAUGGCUGUCGUCAGCUCGUGUCGUGAGAUGUUGGGUUAAGUCCCGCAACGAGCGCAACCCCUGUGGUUAGUUAUACGUCCGCAAGGACUCACUAGCCAGACUGCCCUGUUUAACGGGGAGGAAGGUGGGGACGACGUCAAGUCAGGAUGGCCCUUAUGACCAGGGCUGCACACGUACUACAAUGCCCACUACAGAGGGACGCAAAGCCGCAAGGUAGAGCCAAUCCCAGAAAAGUGGGCCCAGUUCGGAUUGGAGGCUGCAACUCGCCUCCAUGAAGUUGGAAUCGCUAGUAAUGGCGCAUCAGCUACGGCGCCGUGAAUACGUUCCCGGGCCUUGUACACACUGCCCGUCACAUCAUGAAAGCCGGUUGUACCCGAAGUCGCUUCGGUGCCUAAGGUAUGGCUGGUGAUUGGGAUGAAGUCGUAACAAGGUAGCCGUAGGGGAACCUGCGGCUGGAUCACCUCCUUU